AUAUUCUGGUUUCUCUUCAGAUCGUAUAAAUCUUUCACCUUUUUCUAAAAAUUUCUGUGGCGAGGAACAUUCAAGGCCUAAUAUAAUUGUCUGCAUUGAGGCAGCAUUCAGU